rnacentral:rRNA from 1 species
AUUGAACGCUGGCGGCAUGCCUUACACAUGCAAGUCGAACGGUAACAGGUCUUCGGAUGCUGACGAGUGGCGAACGGGUGAGUAAUACAUCGGAACGUGCCUAGUAGUGGGGGAUAACUACUCGAAAGAGUGGCUAAUACCGCAUGAGAUCUACGGAUGAAAGCAGGGGAUCGCAAGACCUUGUGCUACUAGAGCGGCCGAUGGCAGAUUAGGUAGUUGGUGGGAUAAAAGCUUACCAAGCCGACGAUCUGUAGCUGGUCUGAGAGGACGAUCGGCCACACUGGGACUGAGACACGGCCCAGACUCCUACGGGAGGCAGAAGUGGGGAAUUUUGGACAAUGGGCGAAAGCCUGAUCCAGCAAUGCCGCGUGCAGGAUGAAGGCCUUCGGGUUGUAAACUGCUUUUGUACGGAACGAAAAGCCCAGGGUUAAUACCCUGGGGUCAUGACGGUACCGUAAGAAUAAGCACCGGCUAACUACGUGCCAGCCGCCGCCGUAA